GACGGAGGAGGCAAGCGUUAUCCGGAAUUAUUGGGCGUAAAGCGUCCGCAGGUGGCCCCUCAAGUCUGCUGUUAAAGCCCAGGGCUCAACCCUGGAGAAGCAGUGGAAACUGAGAGGCUAGAGUGCGGUAGGGGUAGAGGGAAUUCCCGGUGUAGCGGUGAAAUGCGUAGAGAUCGGGAAGAACACCAGUGGCGAAAGCGCUCUGCUGGACCGCAACUGACACUGAUGGACGAAAGCUAGGGGAGCGAAUGGGAUUAGAUACCCCAGUAGUCCUAGCCGUAAACGAUGGACACUAGGUGUUGCGCGUAUCGACCCGUGCAGUGCCGUAGCCAACGCGUUAAGUGUCCCGCCUGGGGAGU
rnacentral:rRNA from 1 species